AAUAAAAGAAAAUCUCCAGAGAAGUAAGUCUUCCUCGCCUCCGCCAUCGCCCAAGCCUUCACCGUGACACGUCGCCACUGCUCCCCUCGGCACCGGACUUCGCCACCACCGCGCACAGCGACACCGCCCAGCGCCACAGCCAUCGCCACACCUCCCAGCGCCCAGCGCCCAGCGCCCAAGCCUUCGGUUCGACGCCUCCAAGGUUCACCCGCACAGCCAUAGCCACCCACCGCACUGCCACAACCACCGCGCAUCUCCGACACCGCCGCAUGCCUUCCCGCUGAAAAGAAAGGCAAAAAUAUAUGCAGAGAUACUAGGUGGAAGCUUCACUUGUGAUGCUUACAAAUGUGGGCGAGCCACAUCCAGAUGGAGCUGGUACUUUUCUGUGCAUCGAGGAGGCCUUAGCUCAAUCCGGGUGGGCAGAGAAGAUGUCAAUUAUAUCAAUGCUCAUGCCUCUUCAACCCUAGAUGGUGAUCUGAGAGAAUAUGAAGCUCUAAUCCAUUGUUUCAGACAGAAUCCCAAGCUUAAAAUGAAUUCUACAAAAUGUAUGAUUGGCAACCUCCUGGGGGCUGCUGGUGCAGUGGAAGCGAUUUCAACGGUGUUAAGGUAUUUUCUACUCUUAGCUUCAGCGGUUCACCUCUCUUUAGUAAAUUGAAUCAUGAUUUUGAUGUUGUCAUAAUAGAUGAAGCUGCUCAGGCUGUGGAACCAUCAACACUUGUUCCAUUGGCCAAUGGAUGCAAACAAGUUUUUCUUGUAUGUAGAUAAAUGCAAAUGCAUACCAUUUUUCUCUUCUGUAAUUAUUUAAAUUUUUUUUUUUUUAUCAUAUGGAGUGCUAUUUUUAGAAAUGUGAGAUUUUUGCAUUAUUGCAAUACUUUUUUCUUUAUUUUUCAAUUUUGUAUCACAUUGUUGUUUUGGAUUCAACUUUGAAGACAAUACUCCAAUACUCCAUUAUUCCUUUUAGAGAAUUUUCUAUUGUGGGAUUUCCUAGUGUAUUAUCCUUCUGUGGUUAGUUAUAGCCAACAACUGACACUUUCUUAGACAAGCUUUAGUUCAAGAAAAUUAAUAUGAAAACGAACAAUAUUUAUACUGAAGGUCUGU